GCCUCUGUAGCACAGUGGUAGUGCAUUUGCCUCUUAAGCAAGAAGUCGUGAGUUCGAACCUCACCAGGGGCA
rfam:Populus trichocarpa scaffold_19_contig_205, whole genome shotgun sequence.